ACCUGGGCCUGGAUCGAUGGCACUCCAUACUCUCCUGGAUCCGCUCUUUGGGAUGGCAGGAGACCCACCACCUCAAGCUCAACCACCCAGUGCCUUUCGCUCUACAAUGUGCAAAAACUAGGAGCUCCUGUGAGGUGGUACCAGUAUGGCUGCACCUCAAGACUACCGUAUGUUUGCAAGUACAUGGCAAGGUAUCAGAUCCAGAGUGACAGCCCAUAAAUGGGAUACGUAGAGAAGACAUCUCCUGAGAUCCUGGGGAAAAAGUUUGCAUCUAGCAACACUGCAAAUGCUCAAAUGCUCCAGCGUCACGAAGAGACCGAGCCCUUCUUCUAUUCCCAGGGUGUCGGUCGCUACCUUUUCCAAAGCAUGCCCAAUCUCUCUCCCUUCUUCUCUCAGAUAAUGUUUGUGCUUUUGACCCUUCCUCCAAUAAUCCCAGUUUGCUUUGUAAUUCCUGCUCAAAGAAGGUGAAUCCCAACUUGCUUUUCCUCCCAACUUGCAAAAGGCCUUUUUAUUAGUCUUCAGAGCCAUCUCAUUCCCUGGGUAUAGAAUGAAGAUCAGGUGGCGAAACAUAACACCUUCUAAUGGAGAAGAUCCCACCCUUGGUCUGAAAUCCAAAUUUUGCACAGGAGAUAUUUUGAAUCUUGUGAAAUGAUGGUGUUGUGGAAGGAGGGUGGAUUUUUAAAAAUCUUGAGAAUGCCUGAGCUUGUCUUUUCCAAAUGGUCCAGCUAGAUGAGAAGAAACCAAGAAAGUAAGGAAACCAAUGAAGCAAAUGGGUGGGUUGGGGUGUUGGCCUUCUGGCCGGCUUUUGCCUUCUCUGCUGCCUCCCUCCCCAUUUCUGCUGCCUCUGAGAUAAUAAUAAAUUCUUUUCUGAGUAUAAA